UACGUAGGGGGCAAGCGUUGUCCGGAAUCAUUGGGCGUAAAGAGCGCGUAGGCGGUCCGGUAAGUCCGCUCUGAAAGUCCGGGGCUCAACCCCGGGAGGCGGGCGGAUACUGUCGGGCUAGAGUCCGGAAGAGGCGAGUGGAAUUCCUGGUGUAGCGGUGAAAUGCGCAGGAUAUCAGGAGGAACACCAAUGGCGAAGGCAGCUCGCUGGGACGGUACUGACGCUGAGGCGCGAAAGCGUGGGGAGCAAACAGG
rnacentral:rRNA from 1 species